CCUACGGGGGGCAGCAGUGAGGAAUAUUGGUCAAUGGACGAGAGUCUGAACCAGCCAAGUAGCGUGAAGGAUGACUGCCCUAUGGGUUGUAAACUUCUUUUAUAUGGGAAUAAAAUGUUCCACGUGUGGGAUUUUGUAUGUACCAUAUGAAUAAGGAUCGGCUAACUCCGUGCCAGCAGCCGCGGUAAUACGGAGGAUACGAGCGUUAUCCGGAUUUAUUGGGUUUAAAGGGAGCGUAGGUGGAUCGUUAAGUCAGUUGUGAAAGUUUGCGGCUCAACCGUAAAAGUGCAGUUGAAACUGGCAGUCUUGAGUACAGUAGAGGUGGGCGGAAUUCGUGGUGUAGCGGUGAAAUGCUUAGAUAUCACGAAGAACUCCGAUGGCGAAGGCAGUUCACUGGACUGCAACUGACACUGAGGCUCGAAAGUGUGGGUAUCAAACAGGAUUAGAUACCCUUGUAGUC
rnacentral:rRNA from 1 species